AGCCGACCCGCGCCCCGCCCCGCCCUGGCAGGAGUGGCCGCCCCGGGCUCGGGCGUGGCGGGGCUCUGCGGGUCCCCCACCCCCAGCGCUGGGCGGUCCCGCCCUGCCGCUCUCCCUCGGCCCGGCCUGGUCCCGAGCAGCUGGGGAGCUGAGACCUAAGGCUCGGAGGCCGGUCCCAGCCGAGAAGCCCCGGAGAAGGCAGGCUGGCGCCACGCCGCAGCCGGGAGCGCUCACCGGCGGGGGACUCGCCGCAGCCCCUUCCCCCUCGGGCCCCUUCCCCCUGGGGGGGCCCCUCCUCCGGGGGGCCCCCUCCUCCGGGCCUCCCCCGGCCUCCCUGAAACAAAACCCUGGUUUCGGGGCCCAGAGAAGACUCAGCAGCUUCUUCCAGGGAGUCCCUGGCCCCGCUGCCAACACCACCGGACCGGGAGCAGGGCCUGGCCCCAUCCUUUUUAUCAGGGGAUGGCGACGACAGAGGGCAAGGGCGAAAACUGGGGUGACUCGGAUGCGAGUGGAAGCCCCCGCAUCUGGUAGAAGGGAGACGCGGAACGCCAGGCGUUAUAUGUCCUAGGGAGAGUGCGGGUGACCCUCCGCAACUGGGGAGCGCAAGCCCCCGGGAGCCAGGAGACUGGGUCAACCAAUGUAACAAUGCAGAGCCCUCUGUAUGCAUAAUGGAAACCCAGGGCCUCUCUCUCAAGAGCCCCAGGAAGGACGAAAGUGGAAGGGUGAACCCUGAAAUGGAGUACGGGGCAGACUAGGCUUUCUAGCAUGACACUGAGUAGUAGCAGCACCGAGCUCCAACUCCAGAGCUAAGAGAAAUGGUUUGAAUUCCACGUCCUCCUCUCAAUAGCCGUGGGAACUUGGAUAAAGUAUUUUAUCUCUAUCAUCACGCGCCAACACUGGGAACACAGAGAUAACUAAGCACCACGCCUUGUUUCAAGGAACUCCAGGCGGAUGAGUGCCUUGGUGCAAAUGCUGCCCCCAGCAACCAUGCUGCCACAGCCUGUUCACAUGAACUCUCAGCUAAUACUCA
rnacentral:lncRNA from 1 species